rnacentral:lncRNA from 1 species
UUUGUUCUAUUCAAUUUAUAAGAAUCAAAUGCUUUUUCACAUACUAUGAGAACCUGUAGCCCACUGAUAGGUAGAAGCAAACCUAGUAAAAGUCUAUGCCUCAACUUCCCAACUAUAAAUUCUAACAUUUGCCCAGCCUACAUUUAAAAGGUUGUAAAUGGGACUAAAAUCCAUGUUUCCUGACUCUUAACAUGAUAUUCUUACCUUCUUCUUCUUCAGAUAUGAUCAGAAUUGGCUGAACUACAUCAAACUUUAUUACUACAGCAAUCCAUAUACUAUUAUGUACAGGAGUCUCAAUGCCAUGUCUUUUCAUUUAUCUUACACAAAACAUGUAAGUUUGUGUGAUGUAUCUGCAGACACAGAGGCAGGGCUAUGGGCAGAGGGAAUGUUUUGUGAACUCUAAGCUUGCUGUAGCUUAUAGAGUAAAUUCUAUCUUCACUUUUUAGAAAAAAAUUAUACUCUUUUGAUUCAACCAUUUAAAUGCACCAUAGUACAUUCUUACUCAAAUGACAUCCUUUAAAAUGACCCACUGGUGAUUUGCAGGGGUGAGGAGG